rnacentral:rRNA from 1 species
CGGCUAACUACGUGCCAGCAGCCGCGGUAAUACGUAGGUGGCAAGCGUUGUCCGGAAUUAUUGGGCGUAAAGCGCGCGCAGGCGGUUCUUUAAGUCUGAUGUGAAAUCUUGCGGCUCAACUGUGAGCGGUCAUUGGAAACUGGAGAACUUGAGUGCAGAAGAGAAGAGCGGAAUUCCACGUGUAGCGGUGAAAUGCGUAGAGAUGUGGAGGAACACCAGUGGCGAAGGCGGCUCUUUGGUCUGUAACUGACGCUGAGGCGCGAAAGCGUGGGGAGCGAACAGGAUUAGAUACCCUGGUAGUCCACGCCGUAAACGAUGAGUGCUAAGUGUUAGAGGGUUUCCGCCCUUUAGUGCUGCAGCAAACGCAUUAAGCACUCCGCCUGGGGAGUACGGCCGCAAGACUGAAACUCAAAGGAAUUGACGGGGGCCCGCACAAGCGGUGGAGCAUGUGGUCUAAUUCGAAGCAACGCGAAGAACCUUACCAGGUCUUGACAUCCUUUGACAACCCUAGAGAUAGGGCGUUCCCCUUCGGGGGACAAAGUGACAGGUGGUGCAUGGUUGUCGUCAGCUCGUGUCGUGAGAUGUUGGGUUAAGUCCCGCAACGAGCGCAACCCUUGAAAUUAGUUGCCAGCAUUCAGUUGGGCACUCUAAUUUGACUGCCGGUGACAAACCGGAGGAAGGUGGGGAUGACGUCAAAUCAUCAUGCCCCUUAUGACCUGGGCUACACACGUGCUACAGUGGAUGGUACAGAGGGCUGCAAGACCGCGAGGUUUAGCCAAUCCCUUAAAACCAUUCUCAGUUCGGAUUGUAGGCUGCAACUCGCCUACAUGAAGCCGGAAUCGCUAGUAAUCGCGGAUCAGCAUGCCGCGGUGAAUACGUUCCCGGGCCUUGUACACACCGCCCGUCACACCACGAGAGUUUGUAACACCCGAAGUCGGUGAGGUAACCUUUUGGAGCCAGCCGCCGAAGGUGGGACAGAUGAUUGGGGUG